rnacentral:siRNA from 1 species
CUGUAGAUGAGCUCAUUGUGCACU